rnacentral:lncRNA from 1 species
UAUAUGAUCAUGCAAUUUGUCACACAAAUGGCAAUACAACAGCAAUCACAAGUAUCAUCACCUUCAUAUAAUCACAUCACGUGGAAAUUAGUCAGUGGAGUCACCGAAACCCCCGUCCUCACACAUGGCUCGCCCUCUCAUACAUGUGCACCAGGGAGCCGAUCCCCCAUACGGCCAACUGGUCUAAUCCUCACUGACCAGUCCUCUCAUUGUUUUUCUAUUCUCUCUUUUCUUUUCCAUACCAACAGGAGGCAACUCGGUGGUCUCCAUCCAAUCUAGAUCAUCAAGUGCUCACAACAGGAAGCCAUCCUGCGGGCUACAAUCAAAUCUAGAUUAUCAGGUGCGCAACAACAAGAGGCCAUCCUGUGGUUCUAUAUAAUCCAUAUCAUCAGGUGCACACGGGGAGCCGAUCGCCCAUUUUCCCGGCCGACGGUCAAAU